rnacentral:lncRNA from 1 species
GAGACACUCUCCCUGUCGAGACCCAUGUGCAUCUUGCCAAUUAAAAAAAUGAAUACACCCUUUGCUCUCCUAAUUGAAUUCAGCGCAUGUAUCAAAUGGAGAAUAAAAAUGAAAGCAAAUUUUCUUGCUACAGUAACGUGAUUUAGCAUGAAGCAAAGUACAUCAUUCACCUACUCCCAUCAACUCUUCAUUCUAAAAGAGAAUAAAAGAAAAGCUUGCAUUCAGCUACCACGUCCCAUCAACCCAAGCUACAAAAGUCCUUGCUUUUCCAAUCAAAUAAACUAAAUGAAAACAAAAUUGCUGAACAUCACCGUGAAAACCAUGUUCUCUCCUUCUCCAAAAUAAAGUUUUCUAAGCCAAAAACUACCAAAUCCUGCUUCUCCCAAAUUUCUCGAGACCAAGAAAAUCACGGCUGUUGCAGCUCCUAAUAUAAAACCCGUUUCAGCAAGCAAAGAAAAUAAAAGAUGCAUCAAAAUGAAAGUUACGUGAAUCUCAUCCCAGCACCGCCCAUUUUCUUCUUUCUUCAACCAAAAUUAAAAUCAACAUUUUUUAUAUUAAAGCAAUAACACCGUAGCUGUUUCCAAAUCAACCAUAAAUCAAUGCUUGCAAAAUAAAAUACUAAAUAAACGAAAGAUGCUUCCUGCUACCAUGAGAAAAGUUAAAUUAAAAUUGAAAACGUAACUUGAUUUCAGCACCUAACCGUAGUUUCAUUCCGAGGCUGNACAUUACAUUCUACUCACCAAUAAAANCGUUCAAGGCAAAGCCAAAAUGCCCUCAAAACAAAUGGCGGUUGGACACACUUCCUUAUUCAACCAAAGUCACCCAAUAGUCUAAACAUGGUUCCCUUCAAGAGCUAAUAAAAAACGUUCC